AGGCUUUGUGACCAGGGGGAUUAGCGCUGUUUUCCCAAGACAGGUUUAUAUGUGAUUAUGAUCUUCAGGCUUUGCCUAACCAAGCUUUGUGACCAGGGGGAUUAGCGCUGUUUUCCCAAGACAGGUUUAUAUGUGAUUAUGAUCUUCAGGCUUUGCCUAACCAGGUUGAGCAGUUGAUGGAAUGGAAUGAUGUUGAGCGGGUGUUCCUUUGACAUUUCAAGAAAUGUAACCUUGAGUAUACAUCUUCAUAUGUAUAUCUCACACGUUUUUCGCUGCAAAACACUUUGAUUAGGAUAACUUUAUGUUAUGAAAUUGUGACACGUGUUAUUGAGUAAACCACCUUAAUCAGUUCUCAUUUAUGUGUAUGUUUUAUAAGUAUCCAAAUAAUCAUAUAUGAUCCUAGCAUUUUAUCUAUGAGUGACAUUUCCAUAUACUUUAAUGUUAAGUAAUUGUCCAUUUCCA